CUAAGGAGCACCACGAAAAGCACCCCAAUUGGUGGGGUGCAAGCCGUGAGGGGUUCCCGCCUGUAGUGGGCGGGGCCGGGUGCACAACAGCAAAUGAUUGCCAGACACACUAUUGGGCCCUGAGGCAACACUCGGAUCGAUUGAGUGCUUGUCCCCCCAUCUUGGUGGUGGGGUGUGGUGUUUGAGAACUGGAUAGUGGUUGCGAGCAUCUAAAUGAAUGCGCUGCUUAUGGUGGCGUGUUCGUUUUGUGUAAUUUAUUCUUUGGUUUUUGUGUUUGUAAGUGCUUAAGGGCGCAUGGUGGAUGCCUUGGCGAA
rnacentral:misc_RNA from 1 species